rnacentral:rRNA from 1 species
GACGAACGCUGGCGGCGUGCUUAACACAUGCAAGUCGAACGGAAAGGCCCUGCUUUUGUGGGGUGCUCGAGUGGCGAACGGGUGAGUAACACGUGAGUAACCUGCCCUUGACUUUGGGAUAACUUCAGGAAACUGGGGCUAAUACCGGAUAGGAGCUCCUGCUGCAUGGUGGGGGUUGGAAAGUUUCGGCGGUUGGGGAUGGACUCGCGGCUUAUCAGCUGGUUGGUGGGGUAGUGGCUUACGAAGGCUCUGACGGUUAGCCGGCCUGGGGGGGUGACCGGCAACAUGGGGACGAGAUUAGGGCCCGGCCUCCUACGGGGGGAGGCGGUGGGGAAUAUUGCACAAGGGGCGGAGGCCUGAUGAAGCAAGCCGGCGUGCGGGAUAACGGCCUUCGGGUGGAAAACCGCUUUCGCCUGUAACGAGGCGUGAGUGACGGUAAUGAGUAAAGAAGCACCGGCUAACUACGUG